GAGUGAGCUGAGGUUAAGGCUGCGGGUGACCAGAAGUGUGGUAUCUGCUCCCAGAAUUCAGGUCCUUGACUUGUCCUGCACAUGGUGCCUAGUGGAGAAAGAUCUGAUAGUAUUACUUCAAGAUUAGAACAGAUCUUGCCCAGAGGAAGAACUUCACUAGCAGAAGAUGUGAUGGUGUGUUAAGUGUGCAAUCUACAGUUCCAGCAAGCAAAACAGACACGGAAGAGGAAAACUGUUGACCUAUGCAGACUAGUGGCUUUGAGUUUUUGCUACAGAAUCUGCUUACUUGCAUAUUUGUUUUUUUCAUCCAAAGCACCUGCUGACUACUCAGUAGCAGGUGCCACUGUUUUGAAAAGUUUUUAAGUAAAAACUUGAAAUGGACAAAAUUCCUUGUA